rnacentral:rRNA from 1 species
AAUGAAAUGGAGAGAAUCUAUUGUUUCUAUAGCAAGUGAAUUUAAAAUGUUAGUGAAAAUUCUGACAAGUCCUUAAAAGACGAGAAGACCCCAUAAAACUUAAUUUGAUCUCUUUCUUAAGAGUUUAAAAUUUAAAUGGGGACUUUAGAGUAUAAUAAUAACUUAAAGACCUAUAUUUAUAUUAUUAGCGAAGCUACUUUGGGGAUAACAGGGUAAAAUAUUUAGAGAGUUCAUAUCGAUAAA